GGCGGAGCCGCGGGGCGGCGGGGAGCGGGGCAGCGGCGCGGCGGCGGCUGCCAUACACCUCCGCGGAGACAAAGGACUCCGAGCAGAAACGAGCGAGAAAUACAGCUGCCAGGCGGGAAAUACCGUAAUAAGUACCGAGAAAGACAGAUUUCUGCUUGAAGAAAUAAGAUAUGGACACUCCCGAUGCUCCUAGGCCUUUGCAAAUGGAGUGUGCACAAGGGAGUUAUCCUGUUUCUAUGUGGCUGGGUUCCCAGUCUGCCCUGGGAAAGCAACGCUAACGGAAACUUCAUCAGGAAUAUUUUCAUGUUAUUCUCUUUGUUUGGAAAAUAAAAGCAACUAUGGCAGCAGCUCAUUCCCGAACUAA